CUGGUCAGGUUAUUCUUAUGGAAUGUGUUCUGGACUGGGUUAGACUGGUUUAGACUGGUUUUGGACUGGGUUAGACUGGUUUUGGACUGGGUUAGACUGGUUUUCGACUGGGUUAGACUGGUUUUGGACUGAGUUAGACUGGUUUAGACUGGCUUUUGACUGAUUUUUAACUGAUUUUGGGUUGGUUCUGUGUUAGUUUAGACUGGUUGCUCUCAAACUGAUGACCAAACUUUGUCUUAUGAAACAGAUACUAGAAUUGGAUUUUGACAGUUCUAGAACUGGGUUUUAGAUUUCUGGGGUUUUUAAUUGUUUUGUGUAAUAUAUUUUAGACUGAGCUUGGUCCUAGUUUCAGACUGGUUUUUGACUGGUGUUAAACUGGUUGCAGACUGGUUUAGACUUUAUUUCAGACUGAUUUUAGACCGGUUUUAAACUUUAUUUCAGACUGGAUUUAGACUUUAAUUCAGACUGGAUUGGGACUUCAAUUUGAGACUGGUUUCAGACAGGUUCUGGCCUGGUUUCAGACAGGUUCUGGCCUGGUUUCAGACAGGUUCUGGCCUGGUUUCAGACAGGUUCUGGCCUGGUUUCAAACUGGCUCUGGCCUGGUUUCAGACUGGUUCUGGCCUGGUUUCAGACUGGUUCUGGCCUGGUUUCAGACUGGUUCUGGCCUGGUUUCAGACUGGUUCUGGCCUGGUUUCAGACUGGUUCUAGCCUGGUUUCAGACAGGUUCUGGCCUGGUUUCAGACUGGUUCUGGCCUGGUUUCAGACAGGUUCUGGCCUGGUUUCAGACUGGUUCUGGCCUGGUUUCAGACUGGCUCUGGCCUGCUCUCAGACUGGUUCUGGCCUGCUCUCAGACUGGUUCUGGCCUGCUCUCAGACUGGUUCUGGCCUGCUCUCAGACUGGCUCUGGCCUGGUUUCAGACUGGUUCUGGCCUGGUUUCAAACUGGUUCUUAAGUGAUUCCGUCUGGGUUUUACCUCCAGCUCGUCUCGGAGGUCUGAUUUCCUGCAGCAGCCGUUCUGUGUUUCUGUCGUCUUGUUUGUCGUUUCCGUUAAUCGCUGCAAUUAUCGUCCUGAUUGGAGGCUGGCUGGGAAACUCAGCAGGGACCAGAGUGUGUGUGUGUGUGUGUGUUACUGUGUGUGUGUGUGUGUAUGUGUGUGUGUGUGUUACUGUGUGUGUGUGUGUGUGUGUGUGUAAUUCAAUUCAGUGCAGAUUAAAAUGAGGUAGAGCAGCGAGUGAUUGAAGGUUAUGGAGGAAGAAUAAUAUUCUCCCCGCAUGUUAUGUGUGUGUGUGUGUGUGUGUGUGUUACUGUCUGUGUGUGUGUUCAGUGUGUGUGUGUGUGUGUGUGUGUUACUGUCUGUGUGUGUGUUCAGUGUGUGUGUGUGUGUGUGUGUGUAUGUGUGUGUGUUUGCAGGAUUGUGCGUUUUGACAGCUGCUGCACAGGAGAUUUCCUCAGGGCAGCGAGGACACACACACUCACACCAAAACACACACACACACACAGACACACACCUCUGGGCGUUUGCUGAUGCGUGGCAGCGAGCGGCUUCGUUUGACAGACGCUGCCGCGCACACACACGACACACAAAGACGAGGCGACACACAAACACAUUAACGCGCAGACACACACACACCAACGUGCACACACCUACAUGCACGGGAUGUCUGGCUGCCGGAGACGGUUGCCGUGGCGUCAGCAGCUCAGCGAUGCAGCUUCAUCCAUUUUCACCUGCUGCUGGUGGAAAUAAAAACCGGCUGUUUGGACUUUAGUUCCACCGCAGAGAAUUUAAUUACAGACAAAAUAAAAACAUCUGUUUAUUACUUUAUAAUCAUAAUAUUAAUAAUAUGUAAUUACAAACUAAAUAAAAGCAUCAACAUAUUAUUGAAUUAUUAUAAUAAUGUUAAUAAUAUAGUAAGAAUAUUGAGUGAACAGGAGCAGAUUUUAUUAUCUCAUUUUCUAAUUAGACUACAUUCAGUAAAUACCAUCCAGUAGGUCCACCACUCUCUGGGCACCACCUCAGCACACCGCCCCCUGGUGGUGGAGACUGGCUCUGGGGAUGUGGGACAUCACCUCACUGGGUGGAAGGAACCUGAGCUGGUGGAGGUGAAGCAGUACCUGCUAGAUAUGGUUGGACUCACCUCCAUGCACAGAAAACGUUCUGGAACCAGAAUCCUUCAGAGAGGUUGGACUCUCUUCUUCUCCAGAGUUGUCCAGGGUGAGAGGCUCUGGGUGGGUGUGAGGAAACUCAGGAGCCCCCGGCUGAGCGUCGCUUUGUUGGAGUUCUCCUGUUGUCUAUUCUUAUGAACCAACAGCAGUUCAAAGUUUUCAACUCCAACCUCUGGGAGAGCUUCUUCUGCAUCCUGGGGGAGGUUGGGGACAUGGAGUCUGAGUGGUCCAUGUUCAAAGCCUCCAUUGCAGAAGCAGCUGUUAGGCGCUGUGACCUGAAGGUCACUGGUGUCUGUCGACAACUCAAAAACCUGCUGGUGGACACCAGUGGUGAGGGAAGUCGUCAGGUUGAAGGAGGACUAGUUGGGCCUGGUUGGCCCCGGGGUCUCCUGAAGCAGCUGACAGGAACCGGUUGGCCUAAAGGGCUGCAGCUGUGGAAGCUAAAACUCGGAUGUGGGAGGAGUUCGGGGAGGCUAUGGAGAAGGACUUUCAUUUAGCCUCAAGGAGGUUCUGGAAAACUGUUGGACGCCUCAGGAAGGGGAGGCUUUACCAGGCUGUGUACAGUCGGGGAGGAGAACUGUUGACCCAUACUGGGGACAUUGGCCGGUAGAAAGAGCACUUUGAGGAACUCCUGAACCCGGUAAACACGUCCUCUAUGGGGGAGGUGGAGCCUGAAGACUCGGGAAAUCUUCAUUCAUAUCCAUGAAAGAGGUCGCGGAGGUAGUAAAGAAGCUCCUCGGUGGUACCAGGUGAACACGUCCUCUGUGGAGGAGGCAGAGCUUGACGACUCGGGGAAUCUUCGUCCAUAUCCAUGGCAGAGGCCACCGAGAGGUAGUUAAGAAACUCCUCAGUGGCUCCAGGUGUGGAUGAGAUCCUCCCUGAGAUGCUGAAGGCUCUGGAAAUUGUUGGACUGUCUUGGCUGGCACGUCUCUACAAUGUGGACAUCAGGUACGGUACCUGUGGAGUGGCAGACCGGGGUGGUGGUUCCCAUCUUCAAUAAGGGGGACCAGAGAGUGAGUUCCAGCUAUCAGGAUAUCACACUUCUCAGCCUCCCCAGGAAAGUUUCCUCUAGAGUACUGGAAGGGAGACUCUGACUGAUUAUUGAACUUCAGAUUCAGGAGGAACAAUGUGGAUUCUGUCCUGGUCAUGGAACGGUGGUCAGAUCUUUACUCUUGUGGGGCUGCUGAGGGGGUCAUGGGAGUUGGACCUGCCAGUCUACAUGUGUUUGUGGAUCUGGAGAAGGUCUAUGACAGUGUCCCCUGAGGACCUCUGUGGGGAUACUGAGGGAGUAUGGGGUACCAGACUCUCUGAUACGAGACAUCCAGUCCCUGACCAAAGUGAAGGAGUUCAAGUAUCUCAGGAUCUUGUUCAGUAGUGAUGAGAAAAUGGAGCUAGAGAUGGACAGGAGGAUUGGUGCAGCAUCAGCAGUAUUGAAGGCGUUGGACUGAACCAUCAUGGUGAAGAGGGAGCUGAGUCUCAAGGAGAAGAUCUCAGUUUACCGUCCAUCUACGCUCCAACACUCACCUAUGGUCAUGAGCUCUGGGUAGUGACCCAAAGAAUGAGAUCAUGGAUACAAGCGUCUGAAAUGAGCUUCCUCUGUAGGGUGUCUGAGCUCAGCCUUAGAGAUAGGAGGAGAGUCAACAUGAGAGUUCAGACAGAAUCCUCAUGUUCACCGUGCUUGACUUAAAGAUGAAUCCUCCUCAUGAGCCUCAGGCUGCACACACACACACACACACACACACACACACACACACACACACACACACACACACACACACACACACACACACAGAAAUCCACACAAACCAGAGUUGUGAGAGCAGAGGUGGUGACAGCGCUAUUUUCAACCCAGCCUGCCAAAGUAGGUGUGUGUGUGUGUGUGUGUGUGUGUGUGUGUGUGUGUGUGUGUGUGUGUGUGUGUGUGUGUGUGUGUGUGUGUCUGUGUGUUUAAGAAUAACCAUGUGACAGUGAUGGAUGAACGGAAACCUUCUGUGUGUUUAAUUGCUUUGUGGGUAAGAAAACCUCAAGUUAAUCACUUCAAAUGUCUCUUUUUUCCUCACACAAACAAAAACACACAAACACACACUGACAAACACAAACAAAAACACACACAUACCAAACACACACUAACAAACAAAAACACUCACAC